AAACUUUUUCAUAAAGCUUCUACCCUAUUUUUUUGAAAAAAAUGUUCAAGUGAAAUAGGUCUAAAAGCCAACUGCAAAUGGAACACGUUUGAAGAAUGAGAAAGAACACCCUUCUAAAUCUGAAGUCGUUUUUCGACGUUGUGACGAA
ensembl:ncRNA C34B4.10 ncRNA